GAUCAAGUCCAUAAUCUUGAACCUAACCUAAAUCCAUUUGGGUUUAGCUGGAUGCCUAAUUAUGAGCCCAAGAGGAUUAGAUCAUGUCAAUGAGUUGGCAAUCUAAUCUUCUCUUUUUUUUCUUUGAUAUUUCCUUUUGAAAUGGAGAAUUGAUAGAAAGAAGAGGGAGGUGCAAGCCUCCCUUUUUGGUAGGACCAAGGGGCACCAACCCCUUGGAUGGCGUGAGGAUGAGAGAGGGGGCCACCCCCUUUUUUGGCUUGGGGAGGAAGGAGAGAG
rnacentral:lncRNA from 1 species